GCUGCUCCAAACCUCCAGGAAAAGCUAAAUUUGGAAAGUGAAGAAUGUGGAGAUUGAAGUCACUCGAACUGGAAUUAAAGUGUGACCAGCUCACCUCCUUCUGGAAGCCUUCCCUGAUCUCCCACCCCCAGGAGCUGUGUCUGCUGAUCUCAGGCAGCGCGUCCUCCAGCACCUGCCUCCCCUGCAUGGCUGCCUUCAAAGAAGCACAUUCCUGUUGUCCCAAACACACUGAGAAACCCUGUGAGGACCAACCAAAGAAAGCCAGAUCUGCACACACACACGCCUUCAGGAGUCACACUAACUAGACGUCCUAGAUGCCAGCAACUCCUUCUGGGCACACCUGACUGAGCCUUCCCUUCCUCACUCUGUGUACGGCCUUCCCACUACCCCGCCUGCCUCUGAGUCUCUGCCAAACAGGUGAUUGCAGUGACUCCCCUGCUACAGCAAAUUCUGAAUAAACAGUUUUUGCUUGUU